GUGUAUAUGUGUGUGUGUGUGCGCGCGCUUUAAGCUUUCUGUGUGUUGCAGGGAAACAAGAUGGAUGGGCACAUCUCCCUCCCAGAUCACUCUCAGGCAGAUAAAGCAGUUGCUGAGCCAAGCCCUCAGUUCCAGUGAACUCUCAGGAAAGAGAGGGACCGAGGGCUGCUGCGAGCAUUAAGUGAGGAGUUUGGAAAGCCUGGAACAUAUGAACGCUUAAACACCCCUUCAGUACGCCAGCAUUAGGAGGUGAGGGCAGGCCUGGCUGCUGUGCUGUGUGCUGUCCACACGUCCAUUUGCCUCAUCCUAAAGGGAUAAUACAGAUAAAGUGAUGAAAUGUGGGCAACCUCAGACCUACCACACAGCAAGCACACACUUAACUGUGGCGACUGCUGCCACGUGUGUCUAAUGGAUCUCGGAUUGCCAAGGUCUACCAUGAAAGACCCAGGAUUGAGGCCUCACACCCCUGACAUUCUGAUUCUUGUUUACA
rnacentral:lncRNA from 1 species